GUAGGGUGCAAGCGUUAAUCGGAAUUACUAGGCGUAAAGCGUGCGCAGGCGGCUUUGCAAGACAGAUGUGAAAUCCCCGGGCUCAACCUGGGAACUGCAUUUGUGACUGCAUGGCUAGAGUGCGGCAGAGGGGGAUGGAAUUCCGCGUGUAGCAGUGAAAUGCGUAGAUAUGCGGAGGAACACCGAUGGCGAAGGCAAUCCCCUGGGCCUGCACUGACGCUCAUGCACGAAAGCGCGGGGAGCAAACAGGAUUAGAUACCCUGGUAGUCCACGCCCUAAACGAUGUCAACUGGUUGUUGGACGGCUUGCUGUUCAGUAACGAAGCUAACGCGUGAAGUUGACCGCCUGGGGAGUACGGCCGCAAGGUUG
rnacentral:rRNA from 1 species